GUGCUCAAAUUGCUUGUAAUGUCAGUGUUUGCUUCAGAAAAUAUCGCUUUGUAGGUUCUUUCAUUUUCUGAGCGCAAAUUUCUCUUCAAAAGAAAUGGAAAAACUUGCAAGCUCUUAGACAGAACUCUCUGAAAACCGCUUUGCAGAUCUUCUGAGACCCAGGUUUAUUUAAUCAAGUGGAAGCUGCAUGCUCUGCAGAAGCUGUGGCACCCUGUGGACCUUUUCCAGUGCUGCGACUCAGCUCGGAGAGCCCCAGUGCAGUGGCCUGUUUGGAACAAAAGAGCGGUUUCUGUUUCGAGCAUGUUUAGCAUCACUGGCACAUUUGUCAGUGUAGAAAUCGGUGUCUUCAGAGACAACUACCAGACGUGAGGCCAAGUUGUAGCCUGGAAGCCCCCUUUUUUCUGCUUGUUCUCCAUCGUGUUGUACAUUAGUUCUCUGUGCUUCCCUACAGUGGUCAGCACCUCCAUCGAGAUAAUGGACUGGAUCAUCACCUGGACAGCAUUUCUCUUCAGUCAUAAAUCAUGAUGGGAAUACUAUAAACAAAAGCUAUGAAAUAUGAACCUGCAUAAAUAAAGGAAG